UUCCGGUUGAUCCUGCCGGAGGCUACCGCUAUUGGAGUUCGAUUAAGCCAUGCGAGUCGCGAGACUUAGAAUCUCGGCGUACCGCUCAGUAACACGUGGGUAACCUGCCCUAUGCUAGGGGAUAACCUCGGGAAACUGAGAAUAAUACCCUAUAGUUCACCACGCCUGGAACGGUGGGUGGAUGAAAGCUCCGGCGGCAUAGGAUGGGCCUGCGGCGUAUCAGGUUGUAGGGGGUGUAAUGUACCCUCUAGCCAUCUACGCGUACGGGUGUUGGGAGACAUCGCCCGGAGAUGGAUUCUGAGACACGAAUCCAGACCCUACGGGGUGCAGCAGGCGCGAAAACUUGGCAAUGCGAGAAAUCGUGACCAGGGAACUCCAAGUGCAUCGGGUAAGACCGAUGCUUUUCUUGACUCUUCAAAGGUCUUGGAAUAAGGGGUGGGUAAGGACGGUGCCAGCCGCCGCGGUAAUACCGGCGCCUCAAGUGGUAGUCGCUUUUAUUGGGCCUAAAACGUCCGUAGCCGGUUUGGUACAUUCGUGGGUAAAUCAAGGCGCUCAACGUCUUGAAUUCUGCGAGCACGGCCAGACUUGGGACCCGGGUGAGGUGUGGGGCACUCUCAGGGUAGGGGUAAAAUCCUGUC
rnacentral:rRNA from 1 species